AGAGUUUGAUCAUGGCUCAGGACGAACGCUGGCGGCAUGCUUUACACAUGCAAGUCGAACGGCAGCACAGGGGAGCUUGCUCCCGGGUGGCGAGUGGCGCACGGGUGAGUAAUACAUCGGAACGUGUCCUGUUGUGGGGGGAUAACUGCUCGAAAGGGUGGCUAAUACCGCAUGAGACCUGAGGGUGAAAGCGGGGGAUCGCAAGACCUCGCGCAAUUGGAGCGGCCGAUGCCCGAUUAGCUAGUUGGUGAGGUAAAGGCUCACCAAGGCGACGAUCGGUAGCUGGUCUGAGAGGACGACCAGCCACACUGGGACUGAGACACGGCCCAGACUCCUACGGGAGGCAGCA
rnacentral:rRNA from 1 species